rnacentral:rRNA from 1 species
AUUGAACGCUGGCGGCAUGCCUUACACAUGCAAGUCGAACGGCAGCACGGGAGCUUGCUCCUGGUGGCGAGUGGCGAACGGGUGAGUAAUACAUCGGAACGUACCCUGAAGUGGGGGAUAACGUAGCGAAAGUUACGCUAAUACCGCAUAUUCUGUGAGCAGGAAAGAGGGGGAUCGCAAGACCUCUUGCUUUAGGAGCGGCCGAUGUCGGAUUAGCUAGUUGGUGAGGUAAAGGCUCACCAAGGCGACGAUCCGUAGCGGGUCUGAGAGGAUGAUCCGCCACACUGGGACUGAGACACGGCCCAGACUCCUACGGGAGGCAGCAGUGGGGAAUUUUGGACAAUGGGCGCAAGCCUGAUCCAGCCAUGCCGCGUGAGUGAAGAAGGCCUUCGGGUUGGUUAAAGGACGUCUUUCGGUUGGGGUAAGGAAAGUUAGCGACAGGAGUAAUACCUUAGUGUAG